AGGAUCAUAGUUUAAAUAAAACAUUUGAUUUGCAAUCAAAAAAAAUUGAAUUAAUUCAAUUUAUCUU
rnacentral:tRNA from 1 species